rnacentral:rRNA from 1 species
CCUACGGGAGGCAGCAGUGGGGAAUAUUGGACAAUGGGCGAAAGCCUGAUCCAGCAAUUCCGCGUGUGUGAAGAAGGCCUUCGGGUUGUAAAGCACUUUAGUGGGGGAAGAAACAGCUUGGCCACACCAAGCCUUGACGGUACCCCAAGAAUAAGCACCGGCUAACUCUGUGCCAGCAGCCGCGGUAAUACAGAGGGUGCAAGCGUUAAUCGGAUUUACUGGGCGUAAAGGGUGCGUAGGUGGCUAUUUAAGUCGGAUGUGAAAGCCCGGGGCUCAACCUCGGAAUUGCAUUCGAUACUGAGUGGCUAGAGUUCGGUAGAGGGCGGCGGAAUUUCCGGUGUAGCGGUGAAAUGCGUAGAUAUCGGAAGGAACAUCAAUGGCGGAGGCAGCCGCCUGGGCCUGGACUGACACUGAGGCACGAAAGCGUGGGUAGCAAACAGGAUUAGAUACCCUGGUAGUCCACGCCGUAAACGAUGAGAACUUGACGUUGGUUCGUUUUACGAAUCGGUGUCGCAGCUAACGCGAUAAGUUCUCCGCCUGGGGAGUACGGCCGCAAGGUUGAAACUCAAAGAAUUACGG